rnacentral:rRNA from 1 species
UACGUAGGUGGCAAGCGUUAUCCGGAAUUAUUGGGCGUAAAGAGGGAGCAGGCGGCUAUCAAGGUCUGUGGUGAAAGACUGAAGCUCAACUUCAGUAAGCCAUGGAAACCAAAUAGCUAGAGUGCAUUAGAGGAUCGUGGAAUUCCAUGUGUAGCGGUGAAAUGCGUAGAUAUAAUGGAGGAACACCAGUGGCGAAGGCGACGAUCUGGGAUGUAACAGACGUGAGUCCCGAAAGCGUGGGGAGCAAAUAGGGA